GGCACCUUCACUCACUGUGGUAGCUUCCUGGUCUGGCUCUGAAGGGCUUGUUAUCUGCUCCAAAAUAAAGCUGGGGACUGGCAGGAAGUCUUGACCAGCUGUGCUCCUUGAUCCGCACUCAGGAUCCCAAGCAGGAUUCCCUGUAUCAGGAAACUGGAUCUCCACCAUGAUGGUGUUUGGGAAUGGAACCCCAUGUUUUUUGAAGUAAAAGCCUUUGCGUUGAAACUAAACUUUUGAUGAAGCUCAUUAUUGAUGCAUGAUUCUCAUCCAGCAGAUCGCGAGUGUAUCAGCAAAUCAAGCGUCUGUUCCAAGAGAGAACACCUAGGUCAGAGAGGACCAGCAGAAAUUGGGUUCAAAAUCAACUGCCCUGCUUCCGGAGGAGGACUCUGAAUAUAUCUCCUCAUGGACUUUAUCUCAACUGCCUUGUAGAUAGAACUCCUUCACUGGGUGUUAACUUCUGGGAAUAAACUCCUCUCAGCUGUAAAAAUGAACCCUUAGCCCACGUGUUCAUGAAAUGGAUUGAGUUCAUUGUGGCGCUGAUUUACUGCAACUAGAUGCAAGAUUGACGCAUCCAGGAGAAACCAUUCCACGUAUCUCAUCAGUCUCUGGAACUGCCCCCUUAAUCUCUUUACUAGAUUUGAUUGUUCUCUAACAAGCCAACAAAUACCUCCAGAGCAGGCUGUGAUAUGAAGACUGACUUAUGGUGGGACUUUUGCUGAGGUGUGGAUUUGGGGCUAGGAGGCCCCGUAAGGAAAAUAAAAGCAUUAUGCACCACAAUUAGAAAGUUGAUGCCCAGUAGAGCUCUGCAGAGGGUCAUAGAGUAAUUCUUUGCCAAAGUAAACUAAAUCAGAAGUAACUCCAUUAAAGCCAGCAGAUUAAAACCUGUUUGGACAAUCAGAAAUGGGCCCUGUGUGGGAAAACACAAACCACUUCUGAUAAUUUUGUGGAGAGCAGGGAGCAGAAAAAAAAGCAAUAUCCGACCUGACAGAAAUCUUGAUAACCUGGAAAACUAGGUGAAAGCCAGGAAUAUAAACAUCUCAUCUUGAGAAAACAAAAAACCCCCAGGCAAUCUCUUGACAUUUAAGGAAGACUUGAUCUCCUAGUGAACUAAAUACUAAAGAAGACCUAACAUAUCUGAAUAGUGCUUGUGGAAAUUCCCCAGGGAAGGAUGAUCAUGCAUAAGAACAAUCCUCCUUUGGUGAAGGGGAGGAAGGGACUGCAGGCUUGAGAAACCAACUUGGAGGAAUGAGACAGAAGAACAAUUAUAACUUUUUAUUUCAUCCUGUGAAGUCAGUGGCCUGGACUUAUCAGAGCAUGAUUCUAAUAACACCAAGGCUGCGGGUUCAAUCCCAAGAGUUGGGCUUGAUGAUUCUUGUGGAUUCCUUCCAACUCAGAAUAUUCUGUGAAUCUGUGAAAAAUUCAUUCACAAAAAAUGCUCCUACAGAAAAUAGGAGGAUGGGUAUUAAUCUCCUAGAGACUGAGGAAAUACUUUGGAAACAGAAGGCAAGUCUCCUGAGGUUUGGGUUCUAGAAACAAAUUACUCUUUUCAGAAAAAAAAAAAAAAAAAGACCCCUGAGUUGGGUUUAGUCCAUGGUGCUGCCAUGGUGCUGCUAUUUGGGGACCAACUGUAAUCUGUUUAAGCUCAUAUUCUGCAUUUGCAAGUGCUGGAAUCAAAUGCUCAGUUCUCACUAGUGCAUAAUUAAAUUCUUAUUCCCAAUUGAAGCCAUUGGCAAAACUUUCACUGACUUCAACAGUGUUGGAUUAAGCUUUCACUGAAUGUCAUGAGAAUUUGAAAAGCAAAAUCAAUCCAGAUCUUGCAAAGGUCCCCUUGUCUUUGUUGUGGAUCAAACCAAAACCAUAAUGUAAAAACCAAAACCAUCAACAACAAAAAAAAACCAAAACACAAACAAAGCUUUGCCAUGAAUGAAAUAAGAAUAAGGAAUCAUAAUGGUAUCCUGAAUAAUUUCCAGGAGGCAGACAAACUGAGUCACUUGGGGGUCUACAGUGAUAAUAAGAAUCAUUCCCUUCCUAGGUGUAUUCCUCAUUAUAAAUUUGCAAUUAAAAUCCAACGAGAAGCAGGAGUGCCUGGCUGUAGAGGAAGUUCUUCCCUUCCAAGCUCCAUCCUACACCAUGUGAGCAAAGGCUGCAGAAGUUUGGGAAACUGUGCAGGGUGCAGGGCUGUGGGACUCUGAUGUUCAUUCCUGUCCUCUGGCUGCCCCCUGUUGGCUGGUCCACCACGUCUGCAAUGGACCUGGCAUCUCCCAUGUGCGGCGCUUGGAAAGGCUGGACACAAACGAGAAGGAUGUUCAAAGGAAGUCAGCACGAGUACAAAGGUCAUGGAGAGGAAGAGAUGGUUGACCACGCCUUCUGACAUGAAGAAAAAAAAUCUGCAUUUUUUAAAUAGAAGGAUGGAAUAAAGUGAUUUCUCCUCUGCGUAUGUAAAGCAAAUUUGGGAUCUCAUUCAUCCCUUGAAGAACCAUGUUUUAUGACCUCUGAAUCCGUCUCUUGGAAUGUUCUCUGAAGAUGAAUGUGGUUCUGUCACAGCAGUUAACGCCUGAGUGUACACACAGGCAAACACAGAGAAGCCGCUGGGGAAGGCAAGCAAUCAAGUGGGGAAUUCUGCAUGUUGUGAGCCCACACAGAACCACAGAACCCAGCUGAUGAAUACAUGAAGGAGUGCUGGCUUCUGACUGUGCCAGUUUCUUAACAUUUGGGAUCAUUAAUGACUUCUCUCUUCUAUUGGGAAAAAAAAAAAAAAAAAAAGUCAGCAGUUCCUGUAUUUUUCGGAGUCACAAGCAAAGCAUUUAGCACCACAAAUAAACUCAUAAUUUGACAGGCAAACUGCCCAGAAAAGUGAAAGCAGAUUUCUCCCUCCAAGUCCCUGAAUACCUUAGUGAUCCUUUACUUGGUUUUCAAGUGCUGUUUCCUUUUUGUUUAAUCACAGGUUACGGUCAAGCUACUCUUCAAAAUAUCAAGCCCUGUCCAUGUGCAUUUUCUUAAGGUUAAGUAUGUUCACAGUCUCCUGCUUUGCCAGCAAAAACAGAUACCACACAGAAAUACCUACACAUGUCCAGAGCUGUUGCUGAGUAGCUCUCAUUUUUUAUUUACCUACCAUCCAUCAAUAUAUUUUUUUCCCUUACGUGCAAAUCCAGCAUCCAAAGAGUUGGCAUAACAAGUAUUCAAGAAGUUGUAUUUGCUGUGAAAUUCAACAAAAGGAAUUAGCUACAGUAUGUGAACAAUAACUUCAUAAAUGGCUGAGGCUGAUAAAGGCCACAGCCAGGCAGAAUGUUCAAGCCUCUUGGAAAUUAAUUGAUGCUGUGUCUUUCCCAAGAAAUUUCCAGCCAAGAAGCCCAGUGGAUUCUCAAAAGGGCUAGGAAGCAGAUGGUAUCCCGAGGUUUGGUCUGCCUGCCUUAGGUUCCUUGUUGGAGCCAAUCCUUUGGAUGCUCUCCUGGAACUGGUCUGGGAGGAUUAUUGUGCAUUCCCAGCCUCUCUGAAGGACCAGACUUCCUUGUCACACACAGCUAUCCAGUCCUGGAUAAACACGAUGCUUCAGCACAGUGUGUUUCCAAGGGUUUACAUUAUCUAGGACGGUGGUUGAGGAAAGACAGUAAUGGAGCAUGGGGCUUUGCUGCCUUGCUGUGUGGCUGCUGCUGCAGCAGAGAAAGAAAGGUGGUACUUGCAUUUGCAUCGAGUCACAGUAAGUGAAAUUCUGAUGGUUAUGGGGAAAAAAGAAGCAAUGUGAUAGUGGUUCAGCACUGAAGCAAGUACCCACCAAAGCUGUGCACUUUCCAUCCUUGGACAGCCAAAACUCAACUGGACAGGCCUCAGCAACUUGCU